rnacentral:rRNA from 1 species
GCAAGUCGAACGAGAACGGCUCUAGCUUGCUAGAGUGUCAGCUAAGUGGCGCACGGGUGAGUAAUGCAUAGGUGUACGUGCCCUGUAGUCUGGAAUAACAAUUGGAAACGAUUGCUAAUACCGGAUAUUCCCUUCGGGGGAAAGAUUUAUCGCUACGGGAUCGGCCUAUGUCCUAUCAGCUUGUUGGUGAGGUAAUGGCUCACCAAGGCUAUGACGGGUAGCUGGUUUGAGAGGACGAUC